AGUGAACGCUGGCGGCAGGCCUAACACAUGCAAGUCGAGCGGCAGCGGGUCCUUCGGGAUGCCGUCGGGCGGCGGACGGGUGAGGAAUACAGCGGAAUCUGCCCUGUCGUGGUGGAUAAGCGAGGGAAACUUAGGCUAAUACCGCAUACGACCUACCGGUGAAAGCGUGGGAUCGCAAGACCUCGCGCGACAGGAUGAGCCGAUGUCCGAUUAGCUAGUUGGCGGGGUAAAGGCCCACCAAGGCGACGAUCGGUAGCUGGUCUGAGAGGAUGAUCAGCCACACUGGAACUGAGACACGGCCCAGACUCCUACGGGAGGCAGCAGUGGGGAAUAUUGGACAAUGGGCGCAAGCCUGAUCCAGCCAUGCCGCGUGGGUGAAGAAGGCCUUCGGGUUGUAAAGCCCUUUUGUCCGGGAAGAAAUCGUCUGGGCUAAUACCCCGGGCGGAUGACGGUACCGGAAGAAUAAGCACCGGCUAACUUCGUG
rnacentral:rRNA from 1 species